rnacentral:piRNA from 1 species
UGUAAACGAGUCCCCUCAGGCCAGGUC